rnacentral:ncRNA from 1 species
UUUUGGGUUUCGCUUUUGCUGAAGCAACUGGAUUAGCGGGACAGUCCAGUAUAAAGAGGGUGAAUUGCAAGAAAACCAUAUAAAUUGUGAAAAUUUGCAGCGAAGUUUAAUAUUAUACAUUUAUAUAAAAAUAUUAAAAACGUUCAACGACUAGUAGAUGAGUAAAUGUAUUAUCAAUAAUUCUACCUAAGAGCGCCCUCAUUUUAAAUUUAUGAUAUAGUCUAACCUAAUCAUGUUUAAUUUAUGAUAUAGUCUAACCUAAAGGGGAACCUUUAG